AGAGAUGCGGCACUCGUGUCCUGUUGUUUGGGUGCUCGAGUUCUGGGGUCCCAACCCCGUAGUAAUGAAUAAAGAAAAUAAACUUCGGCACUCCUUGAGAUUUGUUUAAGGUACUGUGCUUAUUUUUAUUUGGUUUUCAUAAGCACAUUUUUGGCAUAUAUCUGUCGCAGAUUCGGUCGCAAAGGGGAUUUGCGGCUGAAUCUUCGACUUGUCCGUGCUCACGCCAGGUUUAAAAAAACAGGCGCAUGGUGUGGGCAACAAAGAGGCGUAGGCGUAGAAAAUGAUCUAAAUCUACUUCAGCAUAGGAGCUGCCAUAGAUUUAUGCUGGCGGUGGAUGCACCUUAGUUAUGUAGACGCCGCAAGGGGUAUUAAGACCGGCGUCUAAAAUGUCAGUCUUAAUAAAUAACCCCAAAAGUGCCUUAUUGCAACCAGGGUCCUUGAUUUCUUUUCUCAUUGUGGAAAAUACUUGUGACUAGUUGGUAUGGGAAUCGGUUUACUCUAAAGCUGCCCAUACACAUGGAAUGGCUGUUGGCUGACCGAUUUUUCGGCCGAUAGCUGUCUCUCCCGAUUCCCUCCCGGAUUCCCCAUACACAUACAUGUUCGGCUCGAGAGAGAGAGAGGACAAAGCUGCUGCCAGACACUUCUGGUGCCGUCCAAUUUCACUGGAGAACAAAAGUUUCAGGCGAAAGUAUUCAUUUUGCCCAAACCUUGUCUCUCCCAACGUAUCAUCUGUCAGGAGGGAGUCUGGAGCUCCCCAUACAGAUUUGAGUUUUUGGCCACCUUAAGCCUUGUGCUCUACAAAUGAAAUAGUUAAAAAUUCCAAAUCCUACAGUCAGCUUGAGCGAUUAGUUAUCUAGUUGACCUGUAGAAUGGUGUUUUAAUUCUUUCCUUUCCAGGGUACACAGUUUAGAGGGAAAACUGGAAGCAACUUUAAGAUAACUGCACUAAACAAUAAUAAUCUUUAUUUGUAUGGCGCCAAAAUAUUAUGCAGCACUUUACAAUUCAGAGGGAACAUGUACAAACAAAAUCAUAUGUUACAUAGUAAGACAUUAACAAUUCAAACUGGAGGAGUGAGGGCGCUGAUCGCAAGAGCUUAUAAUCUAUGAGAAACUAGGGGUGACACAUGUCCAAUGUAUCAUUCCCUGGCUGUGUUUCUUUUCUGAUUGAGUGUAAAUGAAUGAGUGUAAAUGAAAAUUGUGAUAUUUUAUAAAAGUUAACAUCUCUACUCAUACAUGACAGUAGGGCAGUGGAACAAAUUUUAAAGCAUAUGUUCAGUCUUGCAACAUCUUGACAGUGUAGCAGUUUAUAGUCGGUUGCCAAGUAGUAACUGACAGCAAGCCUCAUCUAAACUGAACCAACCCUUUAUAUUCCUCAUCAGCAGUGCAUCAUUGUGUAAGGCAGGGGCUAUACCUACCUUUUUUAACACUUUUGAUAGAAUUAGCUAUCUAGUUUCAUGUUCUCCAAAGAAGAGCAAAAUUUUGGCAGAAUAAAAGUUCAUAUACACACUACUCCAGUAUGUCUGUAAUGCUCUACUCAAACUCUACCUAUUGCUGGCAGCAGUUUAUCAUGGUCAGAACUGCUAACAGACUCCCUUUAAAAUAAAUCAAAAGUGCUACAAAAAGUCUAGGUGUGGCCUCAGUUUUAUAGUUUCAGGAAGGGUUUACAUUGUAAUCAAUAAAAGAUGGCUGGCUCACAGUAUUUACAGUAUCUACUAUAUAUUUAAUAAAUGAAAUAAAAAUGAUCAGAAAAUUAAUGCAAUACAAUCACAUAUACAUAAAAUUAUAUAUGGUCACGGUCCCUUUAAAACAUUUUACGCGCGGAGCUCACUCACGUAAUAAUGGAACAAUAAUCUUGCAAAUCUAUAUAUCUUUCUUGGAUGUUAUUACACUCUUGUUCUAUUAUUACUGUUUAUGCCACUAUAUGUCUGUGGCCACCAAUAUCUCCUGCUAUCGGAGGAGCACUGUUGGCAUAGAUAUGCUGGUUGGCUUGGAUAUACCAGUUAGCUUAGAUAUAUUGCUUGCCACUCAGUUUGUAAAGUCAAUCUUCCCAAUUGCGUUGUUUAAAUCACAUGGGUAUUCCUUCAUGUUAUAAUGUAACAUGUUAUAGUAUUAAUGUCUCAUAUGGGGUAAACUAAGAAUGUGUUAGAAGCAUCCAGUGAGAAUAAAAAUAGAUAUGUAUAUGAAUACCAGGAGUAUAAUGGUCCGGUCCAUGUUUUAUUAGAGACCCGAGAGGGUAUAAAUAAAAUGAAGGUCCCAAAUGAAAAAAUAUAUUAUAUGCCACUGAGGAAGGAAAGUUUUCCCAAACGUGUCUCGUGUGGACAUUCACGGCAAUUCUAUAUCCUUGAGAAACACUCUUGAUAUUCUUUUAACAGUAAGGGUGAAGCACUAUCUUAUUCGGAGGUCCAGCGUGGCCAACUAUACAGAGCGCAUGUGCGAAGAAUUCACAGCCGGUACAUCGAAUGCUGCAAAUGCCGGGACACAGCGUGGAAGUGUGGUUAGACAAUAUCAGCUCCAGGCUCUGGCCACCUCUAUCAGCAGAAGCGCGGUAAGAGGAAUCUAACUAUGUAACAACAUUACAAUAUGAAGGAAUAACCCUGUGAUUUAAACAACGCAAUUGAGAAGAUUGACUUUACAAACUGAGUGGCGAGCGAUAUAUCUAAGCUAACUGGUAUAUCCAAGCCAACCAGCAUAUCUAUGCCAACAGAGCUCCUCCGAUAGCAGGAGAUAUUAUCCAAACUAACUUUUACAAUUUUUAUAAUAUCAGUAUAUAUCUAUUCAAAGAGGUGGCCACAGACAUAUAGUGGCAUAAACAGUAAUAAUAGAACAAGAGUGUAAUAACAUCCAAGAAGGAGAUAUAGAUUUGCGAGAUUAUUGUUCCAUUAUUACGUGCGUGAGCUCCGCACAUAAAAUGUUUUAAAGGGACCGUGACCAUAUAUAAUUUUAUUAGAUACUGUGAACCAGCCAUCUUUUAUUCAUUAAAUUGUUAUUUUGUAGCACUUUUCAUAAAUUUUAAAGGCUAAUAUAGAAACCUUUGGGCAGCAAUUUUUUAUUAUUACAUUCAAGUAAUUUUGGGCUAAAAAUCUUUUUUCAAUUGGUCUUUAAAAAACAAUUCCUGCUGUCUGAUGGGAUUCUCUGUGCAGUGACAGCCUUCCAGUCUGCAAAUACAUAGAAACAGAAAGCUGUACGGGGAAAACUGUAAAAAAAAAAUUGAAAUUGUUUUUUUUAGCCCAAAAUGAGUAUAAUGCAAUAAAAAAAUGCCCCUAAAGGUGUCCAUAGCCUUUAACUAUUGAGUGACAGCUGCAGUAGACAUAAUUACAUACAAGUCAUUUAUUUAUUGCUUUAGGAUCCAGUUGGAGAUUAAUAGUUGAAAUCAUUUAAAAGUGCUAUAAAAAGUGUAGGUGUAAUCCCAUCCUAAGGCAGUUUCAGACGAGUGUGUUCAUUGCGGGAAACAAGCUUAGUGUGGGAGCUGUAUUUCCUGUUAUGGAUACUGCUUAUCUGAAAAGAAUGAUUUAUGAUAUUGUGAAUUCCUUCCUGACUGUCAGUCUGCUAAAUGUUAGUCACGACAUUAUAUCUUUAUGUAAAUGUGGGUCAUUGGGGUGUCUUCUUUCACUGUCCAAGUCAAGGAGUCACUGGUUCAAGCCAGCCCAUUUCACUGUAUUUGACAUCCCCCUGAUUGAUUGUUUAAUUAUUGGGCUACAACUGAAGUCCAAAGCAAUAAAUGGACUUGUAUGCAAUCAAGUACACUACAACUGGCAUUCUAUAAUUGAAAUCAAUUGAAAGUCUACAAAAAGUUUAGGUGUAGUCCCAGCCUGAGUCUAUCCCUGGUACAAGGCACGGUCAUCCAUAUGACAUAUUAUGUGGGGUUUUCUACUGACAGAUUCUCCUAAAUCUUCACAUUCUAGAAAUAUAAUAUUUUAAUAUAUAUAUAGAUAUUACAUUUAUAUAACAUAAAUUAAUUGAAAUGCACUAUUUUUUUAAUUUGCUAUAGUUACAAUGAAAGAUGAAAUGUAAAUUAUAUUUAUACACUGGCAUUAGCAAUUUCAAAGAACAUCACAAAAGAUAAAAAUAUAGGUCAUUGGAGUUUAACCACUGGGAACUUCACAGGUCAUUAGUAAGGAGGUACCCAGUCCACCAUUCCUCCUUACCACCGAAGGUGGUCAGGCAUGUGUCAUGCUGCUCCUUAAAACUCUGUGGGAGAGAGUGCUCAGUUUUUUUUGUAAUGCCUUGGGACUUAAGAGCAGCAGUGCAUAUGCUUAUCCUCCUAGUCACUGCUGAUUUUCUCUUUUUUUUCCUUGUAUUGUAAGUUUGUAGUUACAUAAGGCUACUUUCACACUUGCGGCAGAGUGAUCCGGCAAGCAGUUCCGUUGUAAGAACGGAUCCGUCUCUCCGUUUGUCAUACAGACAAACGGAUCCGUUUCUUUUUUUUUUUCUUCACAUUUUUACCGGUCUACGCAUGUGCAGACCAGAAGGAUGGAUUCUGCAUUCCGGUAUUUUUAAUGACAUUCAGAAUGCAUGGGGAUAAAACUGAUCAAUUAUUUUCCGGUAUUGAGCCCCUAUGACGGAACUCAGUGCCGGAAAAGAAAAACCGCUAGUGUGAAAGUACCCUUAGGUAUAGAACAUCAGAUACAAAAGUAUGGCAAAUGAGGUCAGUAUAUCUUUCCCAAAAGCAUAAUAAAGAUACGCACUUUAUAUAACAAAUGUUACAUGAAAUGAUUGCUUUACAAAUGCUUUGCAGAAAACAUAUAGCAAUAGCUAUAGUAGAUGGUAUAUGUUUUACUUUCACUGGUGCCUUUGAAAAUAAUAAAAUUAAUAUUCUUACAAGAUA